UACCAGCACCCCGAGUGGUCGGUACGAUUAUUGGGCCUAAAGCAUCCGUAGCCGGUUCUGCAAGUCCCCCGUUAAAUCCAGCUGCUCAACAGAUGGGCCGCGGAGGAUACUACAGAGCUAGGAGGCAGGAGAGGCAAGCGGUACUCAGUGGGUAGGGGUAAAAUCCGUUGAUCCAUUGAAGACCACCAGUGGCGAAGGCGGCUUGCCAGAAUGCGCUCGACGGUGAGGGAUGAAAGCUGGGGGAGCAAACCGG
rnacentral:rRNA from 1 species